rnacentral:tRNA from 1 species
GGAGAGGUGGCCGAGUGGUCGAAGGCGCGCCCCUGCUAAGGGCGUAGGCCUCAAAAGGGCCUCGUGGGUUCGAAUCCAUCCUCUCCGCCA